rnacentral:rRNA from 1 species
GACGAACGCUGGCGGCGUGCUUAACACAUGCAAGUCGAACGGAAAGGCCCUGCUUUUGUGGGGUGCUCGAGUGGCGAACGGGUGAGUAACACGUGAGUAACCUGCCCUUGACUUUGGGAUAACUUCAGGAAACUGGGGCUAAUACCGGAUAGGAGCUCCUGCUGCAUGGUGGGGGUUGGAAAGUUUCGGCGGUUGUGGAUGGACUCGCGGCUUAUCAGCUUGUUGGUGGGGUAGUGGCUUACCAAGGCUUUGACGGGUAGCCGGCCUGAGAGGGUGACCGGCCACAAUGGGACUGAGAUACGGCCCAGAAGCCUACGGGAGGCAGCAGUGGGGAAUAUUGCACAAUGAGCGGAAGCCUGAGGCAGCAACGCCGCGUGCGGGAUGACGGCCUUCGGGUUGUAAACCGAUUUCGCCUGUGACGAAGCGGGAGUGACGGUAAUGGGUAAAGAAGCACCGGCUAACUACGUG